rnacentral:rRNA from 1 species
UACGUAGGUGGCAAGCGUUGUUCGGAAUUAUUGGGCGUAAAGGGCGCGUAGGCGGUUUGUUAAGUCAGCUGUGAAAGCCCGGGGCUCAACCCCGGAGGGUCAGCUGAUACUGGCAGACUAGAGUACAGAAGAGGUAGCUGGAAUUCCCGGUGUAGCGGUGAAAUGCGCAGAUAUCAGGAGGAACACCGGUGGCGAAGGCGGGUCUCUGGGCCGAUACUGACGCUGAGGCGCGAAAGCUAGGGGAGCAAACGGG